rnacentral:rRNA from 1 species
UACAGAGGGGGCAAGCGUUGUUCGGAAUUACUGGGCGUAAAGGGCGCGUAGGCGGCCUUCUAAGUCAGACGUGAAAUCCCUCGGCUCAACCGGGGAACUGCGUCUGAUACUGAAAGGCUUGAAUCCGGGAGAGGAAUGCGGAAUUCCAGGUGUAGCGGUGAAAUGCGUAGAUAUCUGGAGGAACACCGGUAGCGAAGGCGGCAUUCUGGACCGGCAUUGACGCUGAGGCGCGAAAGCCAGGGGGAGCAAACA